rnacentral:rRNA from 1 species
GACGAACGCUGGCGGCGUGCUUAACACAUGCAAGUCGAACGGAAAGGCCCUGCUUUUGUGGGGUGCUCGAGUGGCGAACGGGUGAGUAACACGUGAGUAACCUGCCCUUGACUUUGGGAUAACUUCAGGAAACUGGGGCUAAUACCGGAUAGGAGCUCCUGCUGCAUGGUGGGGGUUGGAAAGUUUCGGCGGUUGGGGAUGGACUCGCGGCUUAUCAGCUUGUUGGUGGGGUAGUGGCUUACCAAGGCUUUGACGGGUAGCCGGCCUGAGAGGGUGACCGGCCACAUUGGGACGGAGAUACGGCCCAGACUCCUACGGGAGGCAGCAGUGGGGAAUAUUGCACAAUGGGCGGAAGCCUGAUGCAGCAACGCCGCGUGCGGGAUGACGGCCUUCGGGUUGUAAACCGCUUUCGCCUGUGACGAAGCGUGAGUGACGGGAAUGGGUAAAGAAGCACCGGCUAACUACGU